rnacentral:piRNA from 1 species
AAGAGUCAGUGUGUGAGAGAGGUGGUC